GCUGAAGGUGAAGCUGUAAGUAAUGCUAUUAGUUUAUCUGCAUUAUAGUAUUUGUUGUGGAUGAUAGGCGACCCCUGUUCUCACCGCGACAGUCGUCCUGUCGAUGGUGGAGUCCCAGGGAGGAUGCCAGUGUGCGCACGCACACUCCGGCGCAUCCAUAAGCACCGCACGAUCAGAGUGUGUGGAACAGCCGAUAGAGCAGGAGCUCUCGGCAGGGCACGCGGCCCGUUUACUGUGGUUGUAUAGUGUUUAAUAUGUUUUAUCUUGGCGACGAGGAUGGGAUCCUCCUCGCGUAGGGGGGGAUCUCAGCAAGAAGAACCCACGGCCGCCAUCGCGAUUGGAAGCUGUGUUCUGCUGCAUCAUCCAAGGGAGACGCCAUCGCGAUCGCAAGUGCAAAAACAACGCCGUGGAAUUUCGGGCCGGUGCCGCCCCAACAACCGACGUUCCGACUGCCGUCCCAUCACGGGGACCGUUUCGGCAGCAGUUACACACACAUACUCUCCACGCAGGCUGUAGCUUCCAGUCCGGCGCGAUCACUUUCCGCCGCUACUGCAGCCCCGUGUAAGCGACGUCAAAGUCGCCCGCUGCAGCUUCCAGUCCGGCGCGAUCACAUUCGGCCGCUACUGGAACCUCGUGUAAGCGACGUCAAAGUCGCCCGUUGCAGCCUCCAGUCAGGCGCGAUCACAUUCGGCCGCUACUGGAACCUCGUGUAAGCGACGUCAAAGUCGCCCGUUGCAGCCUCCAGUCAGGCGCCAUCACAUUCCGCCGCUGCUGCAGCCCCACAUCAGCGUCGUCAAAGACGCCUACUGCAGCCUCGUAUUCAGCCUGCUGCAGUUUCCUAUCCAGCAGAAUCGAGUUCUGCCGCUUCUUCAGACCCGGGUACAGCGACAUCACGGUCGCCGACUGCAGCUCCCCCUCGGCACGGACGCAAAUAGUUCGCCGCUGCAGUUCUUCUAUCAGGGACAGAUGCAAUCUGCAUUCCGCUAACGCUGCAGCUUACAUUUAGACAGCUACUUUUCGCCAUCGCUGCAGAUCCCAUCAAGCGAAUCAUAUGCCGCCUAGAGUACCAGUUUCGUCAGGCGAUGUUACGCGCCACCACCUUCCACCGCACCGUAUCAUCGAUGGAAGCCGAUGGGACCAUCAAGCACCGUCGCCACCCACACAUCUCUGGACACCCCGCAACGCACGUAAAUUUGGCCGGAGGGUGUCGCCACGCCGAUAUUCCCCAAUGGAAUAUCCCGCGUUGGCAGGACCCCUCCGGAUAAAUUAAAAAGGGGAGAUGUUGUGGAUGAUAGGCGACCCCUGUUCUCACCGCGACAGUCGUCCUGUCGAUGGUGGAGUCCCAGGGAGGAUGCCAGUGUGCGCACGCACACUCCGGCGCAUCCAUAAGCACCGCACGAUCAGAGUGUGUGGAACAGCCGAUAGAGCAGGAGCUCUCGGCAGGGCACGCGGCCCGUUUACUGUGGUUGUAUAGUGUUUAAUAUGUUUUAUCUGUAAAUAUAAAACGUUCUGUUUGUGCCGUGUAAUACUUCAA